AUGCCGCGCACGAGGCCUUCGCUCGCGCGAUAAGUGAGGGCGAAGGCAAGGA
rnacentral:sRNA from 1 species